rnacentral:lncRNA from 1 species
UAUAUCCAACUAUGAACACCAUAAGAUACAUGAAUGGAGGAUAUAGGUUAACAAACACCCAAUACUUAACAGAUUAAAGGUUCGGUGAACAUCAUUCAAGCACCACAUCAACUUGAUUUUGUUAACGGAGCUGUGUUAUUAAAUGAAAACUCUAUUCACUUCAUAAAAUCAAUUCAAUCCCCUCUGACUCAGUUACAUAUCCA